CUGGGCUUGACAUACGCCGGAUCGCCGCAGAGAUGNGUUUUCCCUUGUGGNCGGUNUACAGGUGGUGCAUGGUUGUCGUCAGCUCGUGUCGUGAGAUGUUGGGUUAAGUCCCGCAACGAGCGCAACCCUUGUCUUGUGUUGCCAGCACGUUAUGGUGGGGACUCGCGAGAGACUGCCGGGGUUAACUCGGAGGAAGGUGGGGAUGACGUCAAAUCAUCAUGCCCCUUAUGUCCAGGGCUUCACACAUGCUACAAUGGUCGGUACAGUGGGUUGCGANACCGUGAGGUGGAGCUAAUCCCUUAAAGCCGGUCUCAGUUCGGAUUGGAGUCUGCAACUCGACUCCAUGAAGUCGGAGUCGCUAGUAAUCGCAGAUCAGCAACGNGCG
rnacentral:rRNA from 1 species